rnacentral:rRNA from 1 species
AACGAACGCUGGCGGCAUGCCUAACACAUGCAAGUCGAACGAGACCUUCGGGUCUAGUGGCGCACGGGUGCGUAACGCGUGGGAACCUGCCCUUAGGUUCGGAAUAACUCCCCGAAAGGGGUGCUAAUACCGGAUAAUGUCUUCGGACCAAAGAUUUAUCGCCUUUGGAUGGGCCUGCGUUGGAUUAGCUAGUUGGUAGGGUAAAAGCCUACCAAGGCGACGAUCCAUAGCUGGUCUGAGAGGAUGACCAGCCACACUGGGACUGAGACACGGCCCAGACUCCUACGGGAGGCAGCAGUGGGGAAUAUUGGACAAUGGGCGAAAGCCUGAUCCAGCAAUGCCGCGUGAGUGAUGAAGGCCUUAGGGUUGUAAAGCUCUUUUACCCGGGAUGAUAAUGACAGUACCGGGAGAAUAAGCUCCGGCUAACUCCGUG